rnacentral:tRNA from 1 species
GAAAAAGUAAUUAAAAAAUAAUUUUAUGCUGUCAAUAUAAAUUUACCUAAUUAUUAGGUCUUUUUCU